ensembl:lncRNA
UGUGUGUGUGUGUGUGUGUCAUGUGAUAAUCAUCUCCCCCUGGCGGGGACCAGCAGUGUAAGGAGCCCCAGUCUUGCCCAGACUUGGACCCCGGGGCCUCGGCAGCUAAGGCGGAGCUCGUGAUCCAGUGGCACCGUCCUGCUCUGGACCCCAGCGUGACCACUCAGAACCAGGGGCAGAUCCUGAUGUACUACGGCCUGAACCAGACGCCUCUGUCAGCUGGGACCCCCUUACUCACUGCAGUGGAGGAGCUCAGGGUCGGGCAGCGCUUAGUCUGCCUGGAGAAGCUCAGGGCGGUGCAUGCCCAGCUGAGUGCUGCGUGUGCGGACCUGAACGAGCCCGCCGCGGCCCCCUCCACCACCCCUACACCCACCCCCACCCCCAAGAAGAAACGUCCCAUGAAAGCUGACACAGCUAACUGCCCCAAACAACAGAUGCUGCUGGAGAAGACCAGACUCUGCUGUACUGAGAUCAGGAGACUGCUCCAUCCCCAGUCAAAGUCUGGAAGGCUCUCUGCUGUAGGGGUCAGGGG